rnacentral:lncRNA from 1 species
GGGGUUUCUUGAGGACAGGGGACUUGCGACCUGGAUCACAGCAGGCAGGAGCCAGAUAAGGACUGAGACAUCUGGCAGGCACCUGUGCCUAAGAGGAACUCUGCCCAGAACAGUCCUCAACCACACUCUCCCUGGGCAGAUCUGGACCAAUGGUGGCCUUCUCAAAUCACCACGGUCACCUUGUGUUUCCCAAGCCCUGCAGCUGAUUAAGUUACAUACGCCACACAGCUCAGCUGUAUUUGAGUAAUUCCUAAAGGCUUUCAGUGUGUGCCCUUUUAGGGUAAUUUUCAGGGAGUUGAUGAAUUCACAUAAAACCAGAAAGUAUUUCAAACUCUCCCACAGAUCAGAUUGCAGAGAAUGGCUUGCAAGCCAGCUGUGGGAUUUCACCCAAUGUCUGAUAGUCCCACAUAAACCACACUGGUGAUGCUGAGGACAGGUGCCAGUAUCAGUGUUUAUCAUGUCCCAAAGGUAACCAGCCAAGGGAAGAUAUUAAAAUCAUCCUUGGUUCACAGUUAGGCUGCUACUCCACCAAGGGGCCAUUUUCCCUCCAUGACAAAGAAUAGCAAUGUCACCAGCCUGUCUCCUCAAUGCUUGCCUCCAUCUCCCUGAGAAUGUUAUGUGUACCUCAGUGGGCCAUGUGAAGGGGAAAGACAGUGAUGGCCUAACUCCAAACCUCCACUACUCAGUGGUAUACUACUACAAGC